rnacentral:lncRNA from 1 species
GGGGGAUUCUCGAAGAGAAAACGCGUGAUUUUCACUUAAAUGGGAAAUUUGCAAAGAGGAAACGUUAUUUUCACUUACACGGGGGAUUUGCGAAGAGAAAACGCGUGAUUUUCGCUUAAAUGGGGGAUUUGCGAAGGAAAACGCGUGAUUUUCGCUUAAAUGGGGGAUUCUCGAAGAGAAAACGCGUGAUUUUCGCUUAAAUGGGGGAUUCUCGAAGAGAAAACGCGUGCUUUGUGGCUUAAAUGGGGGAUUCUCGAAGAGAAAACGCCUGAUUUUCG